rnacentral:rRNA from 1 species
CCUGACCCCAGGUAAGGCGGGAUUACCCGCUGA